rnacentral:antisense_RNA from 1 species
AAUAUCCUUUCAAUAAUCCUGCUUGAUGAAGCUAAAUGUAGAUAAAAAAAAAAUUACAAAGCUAGUUAGAAACAUGCUCCAUAAAGGCAAUACUUUUCACAAAUUUGCUUUUCACUAGCUACAAGCUAAACCAUAACCAUCGUCCAUGAUGAGAAUGUGAGUACAUUUUUAUUUAUGCAUAAUUUUAAAAUAAUUUUAAAAAAUAACAGGCAAAUGAAUGUGGCAGACAUCUGGGAAGUAUUAAUAUAGUUGAAUGCUAAGUUAGGUCUGAACAUCCUGACAGCUAGGACAAAAAUAUAUAGGAUUUGUUUUGAUCUUAUCCAAUGAGACCAAUUUUCCUAUAAACAAGACAAGUUUUAUCCUUAAAUUCAAGGGGGAACUGAUUGUGUAAGCUCCUAAAACAAUGUAAAAUAAAACAAAAUGAAGUUAAAACAAUAGA